UGGCAAGCACCUCGGGAUCCCAUUCCUUCACAGGGACCCUAGCCAGUUAAAGCUGAUACAUUCCUGUGGGUCAACUAUGCAACUAACUCAGAUUUUGAGCAAACAAAGCUCUCAAGUUGGUGAUCCUCAGGAGUCUCUGCAUUAGUUGGACAGCUCUUCUGGAAUUAUCUUCUAAGUCAACUGUGGGUUGGGUAGGUGGCUCUGCUGAUUUUUCGCUGGACUUCCACAUUUGGGACGAGUUGGCUGUCAUCAGCUCUAGAAAGGGUGUGGCCGUUUUACAUUGGCUGUUUUCCUCACAUUCCUCAAGCAGGUAAGCUUAAUCAUGUUCUCAUAUUGAAGCAGAAACUGUUUACUCAUUUAUCUAUUUACUUACUGGGUCUCCUGGGCACUAGGUACUGUAAUAAAGAACUGGAGAAAUACAGUCAGAUGGGAAGUAGCCCUUGCUGUCAAGGAGCUUGCCAUCUAAUGGGGGAGACAGGCAAGUAAACCAAAGACUACACAGUGCAGUAUGGUAAGUGCCAUGAUUUUGAUGUGACAGGGCACAGUGGACGACCUUCCAAAUCAAAGCAAGUAACUAGGGGUUGACAAUGGUAAGUAUCAUAGUUGAAGUAUCCUUGAACAAGGUUUCAGGAAGAAGAAGAAGGGAAUUUCAUGCAGGGAAACAGCCAAAGCUCAGUGAGUCAAAAUAUCACAGCAUUCUUGGUAAGCCCAAUUGUUUUUUCUGUUUUGCUAUUUUGGUGGAGAGAAAGGAACACAUAAAGGAAUAACAUGAGAGAAGGCUAUUUGGGGAAGUGUAGUAGUUAAGGUUCUGGCUCAAACAACAACUGCAGCUCAUAAAGUUGACUUUAGUGGAAGGAUACUGGGGUAUCUCAUGGAAUCUUGGGAACUGUUGAAUAACCAGGGAAACUCUGGGAAACUCACUGGUAGGAAUCCAUAAACUGUCCUCCUGGUGGGCUGUAAACAACUCACCCUCUAUGCAUCUCACAUCAAAAUUCCAGUUUCUUGGGAAAACAAGUCUGUUUGCCCAAUUUGGGUCAUAUUUCCACGUCCAUGUUACUCAGGCAUGAUUCAUCUGCAAGUUAUGUGUAUAGAUAUUUUGCUACUGUUCCACCCUUACGCUGUGCUGGGGAGGGAGGUGUCACUGUGAGCUGUGUCGGUGCCUUAAGAGAUAUCUGUUGUGUCUUAUUACUUGGUUGCUUUUCCCCACAUGUACAAUGACAAAAAUGCCUUCAACCUAUUUGAUCCAGCCGUUCCAGUACAACUCCUAUACUUGCCAUCUUUCCAAGCCCAAAGGUACAUCCAGCUGAUGGAAGGAGCAUCUUGGUGUUAAUAUUCUUUUAGUCAUGGUCUCUGAAAGUAAAAUGUCUAUUCUUCUAAUUCUGGCACAAUCUUAUCUAGCUAUAGUUCCUCAUGGUCCUGCACUCCAUGGACUAAAUUGUAAGUAUAAUUACUACCAAUGUACUCUAUAAAUAACUUUUGGGGCCAGGGUGGCAAUAGUUGCUAGAGAGAAAAAAAAAAAAAAGGAAGGAGAAGAAAACAGUGAUAGUUCUUAUUUUAAAAGGAAAAAAAGAGGCAGGAGGCUCUCUUGAGGCCAGGAGUUUAAGACCAGCCUAGGCAGCAUUUCAAGACCCUGUCUCUACUAAAAAGUAAAAAAAAAAUUUAGUCAGGCAUGGUGGCAUGCACCUGUAGUCGUAGCUACUCAGGAGACUGAGGUGGGAGGAUUGAUUGAGCUCAGGAGUUUGAGGCUGCAGUGAGCAAUCAUCAUGCCAUUGCACUCCAGCCUGGGCAUCAGAGCAAGACCUUGUCUUUUAGGAAAAAAAGGCAGGGAAGAGGAAUAGGUAAUUUUUCAGUGUUCAGACAUUCCAGCAAUAUGUGUGGAGUACUCAUUCUCACUACAGUUUAUGAGGCCAUAGCUAGUAUGUAUGACUACCCAUCCAAGUUUCCCUGCUUAC
rnacentral:lncRNA from 10 species